GACGUAGGGGGCGAGCGUUGUCCGGAUUCAUUGGGCGUAAAGAGCGCGUAGGCGGCUUGGUAAGUCGGGUGUGAAAUCCCGGGGCUCAACCCCGGGACUGCACCUGAUACUGCCCGGCUAGAGGUAGGUAGGGGAGAUCGGAAUUCCUGGUGUAGCGGUGAAAUGCGCAGAUAUCAGGAGGAACACCGGUGGCGAAGGCGGAUCUCUGGGCCUUACCUGACGCUGAGGCGCGAAAGCUAGGGGAGCGAACAGG
rnacentral:rRNA from 1 species